CCUACGGGAGGCAGCAGUGGGGAAUAUUGGGCAAUGGGCGCAAGCCUGACCCAGCAACGCCGCGUGAAGGAAGAAGGCUUUCGGGUUGUAAACUUCUUUUAUCAGGGACGAAGCAAGUGACGGUACCUGAGGAAUAAGCAACGGCUAAAUACGUGCCAGCAGCCGCGGUAAUACGUAGGUGGCAAGCGUUAUCCGGAUUUACUGGGUGUAAAGGGAGUGUAGGCGGGAAAGCAAGUCAGAAGUGAAAACCAUGGGCUGAACCUGGGGCCUGCAUUUGAAACUGUUGUUCUUGAGUACUGGAGGGGCAAACGGAAUUCCUAGUGUAGCGGUGAAAUGCGUAGAUAUUAGGAGGAACACCAGUGGCGAAGGCGGUCUGCUGGACAGCAACUGACGCUGAGGCGCGAAAGCGUGGGGAGCAAACAGGAUUAGAUACCCUAGUAGUC
rnacentral:rRNA from 1 species